rnacentral:lncRNA from 1 species
AUGCCCUCUUUCUGUUGUGGGGAUCCAAUUUUUUAUUUUUCUCUCCUGAUCCCUUCCUUUUUCCUUUUCUGCAGGGGUUACAGUUCUCCGAGAAAAUUUUGUCACCUGUUUUCAGCAAGGGCAGUCACCAUCGCUGCCAGAACAAAAAGACCAAUGGGUCUCCUGUCCAGUAGGGAGGUGCACGGCACACUGACUCUGGAGAUGGGACCAAGCCCUCUAUCUCUGAAAGGUUCACCAUCACUGGCCUCCUUCUUACCAUUCUUCUGCUUGGGAACCAAUACAAAAUAUUGAUUCUGGGAAGGAAGGUAAGGAUUUCAAAGAUAAUGAUAGCAGUUACAAGGAUUAUCAUUUCUGAAAUGUUUACCAUAAACCUAGUAGGAUAUUCAGCCUUUUGGAUGCUAAUAUUGUUAUACUGCCCUUGAGAGGGGUGAAUUCCCAUGGCUAAUAAAUUACCCAGACUGGCUGAAUCUUUGUAUUGC